GCCGGCCGGAGCCGCGGAGCCGGGCGGUAUCCAGCCGCUCAGAUCCCGCGACGCUGCGGUUCGCGCUCAGUGCCUGCCCUCUUUAAGUCGUUCUGAACGGCUGGGAAGAAUCGCUCCGAGACGUGAAAUCGCGGCUCCGCGUCGACGCGUGCGUUCUCUCCUUCGGGUGUUGUCCCAUAAAGCGGAGCGCUUCGGUGCGGCGGACGGAGAGCGCCGACACGGCAGCGGGCGUUAUUUACAACCGCCGCUCCACCUCGGCAGAGCUCCGCAGGCACAGCGGCUGAGCCCCUCUGCCCCGCCGGGGAAGGACACGACGCGGCUCUGUCGCAAUCGCAGCGCUGGGGAAAUUCCGCCCUCUUGCAUCACUUCUCGGAACGGCCGCACCGCGCCCGUAUCGCUGCGCGACGCGGCCGGGACUACCGACCCGCAGCUGGCGGGCCAGCCCCGCCCCGGCGGGCAGCUCCGGGAUCUGAUUGGCUCCCUCGGCUUGAUUGACACCGCCCGGUUGUCGUCAGCCGUCCGCCAUGUUGUGCGGGGGAGCCGUGUCCCCGCGUGGCCUCGCAGGUCGCCCCGGGGCUCUGCGACGUCGCCGCGUCCCCUUAGCCGCGGUUUCCCCGGGCUGUGAGGGCAGGAGGAGGGCGCUCAGGAGGUAGAGCCCGUGUUGUCACCUACCCAGAAUCAUACCCAGGUACAGUCUCCAAAGCUGAGCAGUGAACUGCAUUGGCAGAGGAUGGGCAAAGCUGGAAUGAAGUGCAUUCCUCGUCUCUUGCUGGUGAAGCCACUGCUGGUGUUGAGCUUUAAUGCCUUUAAGUCUGUACCACAAAAACGUCAGUGAGCCUUUCCUACCAUCUGAUCGUGUGUUGGAGAGCAGCAGUUUGGUGCAUUUUCAGAUUGGGCAUCGUGCUUAACGUCCUUUUGAUUCCAGCCUGUCUUCCAGCGUGUUCAAAACUCACACUUGCUUCUCCCAUUGAGUUGCAUCAAGAUAAAACAAGUGGAAUUUAUCAGAUCUUACCAUCACCAGACAACGCCGUGGAGGCAGCAGACAUUCAGAUGCAGAUCAGAGAGAGCGUUUCAUCUGCAUGCACGUUAUUUGACUGAAGUGAACUGGUUUGAGAACUGGCAUUAAAAUACCAACACUGGCAGUUAAUGCUCCAGCCUUUGAACAGCAGCAGGCAGCUUCAGAGGAAGGGCAGGGCUGGUGGCAGCACCACCACUGCUGUUUGCUCAUACAGCUCUGACUGCUCUCUGUACUCACCAUCCUCCAAGUAAAGACACAGGAGCCAAAUUGGCUCCAAGAAGCAGUUUCUGUUCACCCUGGCUCUGACUCAGCCCCCUCCAAGGGCCAGCAGUGCCACCUACCAGCUCUUGGAGUGGGGAAAUGAGCAACAAGUCUUGGUCUUAUCUGCACCGAGUGAUCACACCAUGCUUUUAGAAAGCAAUAUGCUUCGCAUGUGUGCUGGCACACACAUCUGCCUCAGCUCCAUCCUGGGAACAUUGCUGUCACUGAUAGCAUUUCCAUCUGGAAGUAGGAGAACUGGGAUAACAUCAAAUGGCAGAAAGUGAUAUAGAGCUUCGGGGAGGUGCCCUGAGCUCACAGCACAGCCCUGUGCUUUGGUGAGAGGCUCUUGUACCUGGUGCUGUAGCAGAAGACCUGAGCAGUUCGUUCUUUACACUGCACACCUCUCCAGAGCUGAUCCUCCACGUGCAGAUGUGCUUCUCGCAGAUUAACACCACCAACCAGUUUGUAGCUGCAGGCAUGCGAGCAAAAAGGCAAAGGGUCAAAGCUCCAGCCUGGAAUAAAUCACAGUGAGCCACUAACACGCAGUGUGAGCAGAAACGAGCAGCAGGGGAGAUGGAAAAGAACAGGCUGUGUCCUGACAGGCAGACCUCAGCAAGACAGAUUUAGCUCUCGUUCAGCCAGGAGGAUAUUUGUCACUGCAAGGACAGGCCUGCAUUAUUUUUAGUGGAUGCAUCAUGAGUCCGCAGCUUUAAAGGACAGCGAAAGAAAGAUCAGCUUGUCUGGUGAGGGCUUAUCCUGUUCUCUCAGAGCACACACAGCCCUGAGAAGCCGAGGAAUGUGUCAGUACAUACAAGACACCAUGUGCUGCUUCAAGUACCACGCCUGCUUUUAUUGCUGCUAGCUGUGACACUAGCAGUCAGCAAACCCUGACAUCACACGUGCUGUCCUUACCCUGGGCCAUGCGCACAGCAGCGUGCCUGCAGGCUGAGCCCGACGGAGCACUUCCCGAUAAAACACACUGGAGUUUGAAAAAGAUGGUCUUGCUUUCUACCGGUCCACGUGGCCCCAGCUGUGACACGGCACUCAGCCCUGCAGUCACCUUGCUGCACAGCAGGAGAGGUGAUUCCCUCCUCUUGCCGCCAGCACUGUGUGCUGCAGCCACGCAGCAGAGCGAGGCCGUGCUGCUGGGUGCUGUGAGCUCAGGGAGGCUCCGUGCCGUGCUGGGAGCCGCAGAACCACAUCCUGCACGGGGCCUGAGCAAUAUCUGAUAGACUCACUGCGCCAGCUUGCAAACGUCUCGGUGCGAUCAGUGAGCAGCUUUGCCAGGUGUUUCCCCUACAGCCAGAUACAGUCAGCGCUGAGACGCUUCAUCUCACGUAAAUCAAGCGUAUCUGUCACCACUUUGUCCAUUUGCGUAUCGGAAUUGAUGGCUCAGGAAGAGCUGCGUGCCACCAGAGCACCUCCGAGUGCUGUGCCCGUGUUAGGUC
ensembl:lncRNA